rnacentral:lncRNA from 10 species
CAGGAAACUCCUCGCCAACAGCUGGGCAGGACCUCUCUCCGCCCGAGAGCCUUCUCCCUCUCCUCGACGUCCAGCCCCUAGCUCUCUCGUAGCUGCCAAUCAUGUUUCCUAGACCAGCCCCUCCGAGAGCUUUGGCCGACUUUCAGCUGCCCCUCACCGCCCUCCCACACCACUCAGGAGUUCCUCGCUCCAAGUAUUUACUCAAGAAUGACUAAGUGCACACAGUUCACAAAGUAACAACAGAAAACGUCCACGUUUUCCCUAGUAGAUCAGAACAUCUGCCGCCUCCCCUCAGCUUUCUUCAGAUUGCUCCUAGGUGCUUUAGAGAUGCGUUUUCAAAUUGCAAGUUGAGAUCCAGGAGUGAAUACUCCAAUCUAUUGAGUCGCGAGCACAUUUCUUUCCCAAAUAAAAUAGUAACGAUAUGUCCUGAUUGGAUAAUAAACUAUGUGAUCAACCUACUUCCCACUCUCAAAGAUAUGAUUCUGUACAGCCCUCUGGUCAGUAGAUCUUCUAGCAAUUCAUUUAAUGAAUUCCUUUACCUGAGAGGAAGAUUGCAGAGGCAAGGGUUUGUGCCAGGGUCUCCAGGGAAUAAAGGUAAAUAGCCCUCCCCCAAACCCAACUCCCAAAUCUUUCCUGUCAUUCUAAGUGUUCAUUUGCUUCAUCCUGGAAUUUUAACUCAUGCUCCACCUAGCACCCAAGCUGCCUCUGGAUGUUUUGCCACUUCCCAGUACUCAUGUUGAAGAUGCAGAAAGUGCAGUGAAAUCAGGAGGGCUAGGCAUCUUCUUUCCCACCAAUUAAUUGCCUUGCCAAAGCUGGAGUGACUUUGUCAAUGGAGGAAGAUUGAGUUCCAAAUCUUCUCCCUAUUCCCUCUUCUGCCACCAGCCCAUGCCACUGCCAUGGCUUGUGUAGGAGUCUCCCACGAGUCACCCUCAGCCACGGCCGUUCUGGGCUCUUUCACUCAGUUUCUCAAACGAGAGCUGAAUUCAGCUUUUCAAAAUACAAAACUAGUUAUACCAACCCUCUGAUUAAAAUCAUUUAAUGGCUUCCCACUGCUCUUGAGAUAAAGAGAAGAUAAAAACCAGAUCCUUGAACGUGUCUUCAAGCCUCCAACUCUCCCGUAAACUUUCAUUUGGCUUCUCCUUGCUUACUGAAAGCCUUCUCCAAAUUUCGUGAAUAUGCCUCUGUAAUCCUCCUACCCUUUAUGCUUAGAGCCUUCCCCAGUGUGGACUUCCUUCCUCUGACCUUUUUUUCUUCACCCAGCCAACUCCUGGUCUUCGUGGAUUGAAUCAUAACUUCUUUGAUGGGCAAGCUUUCCCUCACCUCCAUGAGUAGAUCUUGUAUUACACGUUCUCUUGGCACCAUAUGCUUUUCUUUUAACAGCUGUAACUUUAUAAUUAUUUGUGUCAUUCUUUAAUUUAUAUUUCUAUCCUCCACUCAACUCCAAAUUUCUUGAGGGCAGGUAUUAUGUAUCUUUCCCUCCACUUACUAUUGUGUCCCUAAGCAUCAAACACAUAAUCGAUGUUUAAUAAAUAUUUGUUGGAUGAAUGAAUGAAUCAGGCAAUAAAGAUUUAGAAGAAAAUUGUAUUUGAUUGUUCUAGUUGCUUCAUAACUCUGGAGAAAACAUUGUUACCGAAUAUUUGAGAUAUAAACAGACUACAUUUUAGCCGAGAAUGAUGUCACCACUACUUCCUUUUCUUAAGAAUGGAGAAGUAUGUGGGUUUCUUUCUUCUUCUUUUUUUUUUCCUACAUUUGCCCAAGUUCCUCCAGAUAGCAAACAUGUACUUUCUUUCUCCUGAAAACACAAUGUGGCAAAUAAAUGUCCAAUAGAUUCCAAAAGCUUUGUUUUCCUUAAUUAUCACAAAGAUGUUUUACAUUGUUGGAGGCUAGAUAUUUAAAUCUAUGGUGGAAUGUUUAACUGGUGGUCUUUGCCAUGAUACAUCAUUAAUGUUGAUUUUAAUUUUGUUUGCCCUUAACAUUUCUGAUUUAAUCUCCAGUCUCCUGUGAAAUUGAGAAGAAUCAGAAUUCAGCAUUGCCAAGUGCAAGCUAGCCUUUUGAAAAUCAUCAUAAUAAAAAUAAUAGAUGUGUAAAC